UACGGGGGGGGCAAGCGUUGUUCGGAAUUACUGGGCGUAAAGGGCUUGUAGGUGGCCAACUAAGUCAGACGUGAAAUCCCUCGGCUUAACCGGGGAACUGCGUCUGAUACUGGAUGGCUUGAGUUUGGGAGAGGGACGCGGAAUUCCAGGUGUAGCGGUGAAAUGCGUAGAUAUCAGGAGGAACACCAAUGGCGAAGGCAGCUCGCUGGGACGGUACUGACGCUGAGGCGCGAAAGCGUGGGGAGCAAACAGG
rnacentral:rRNA from 1 species